CCCUGGGAGGGAGAGGAGAGGAAAAACACCGAAAGGAAAAGCAGUGUCAUGUGUAGCACAGCCAGAUUUAUUUUCUGUGAAGGACUCUGGGUAAAUGAGUGCUCCUCUCCAACUGCUGCUGCCCUGCUCAGGGACCACAAAAGCUGCUGGUUUUAGCUGGAGCUGGCUCUGUGUGGAGACACUGCCGCAGGGCAGAGGGACUGAACAGCUCAGGACACGUUUUUAUUCUGCUUUGGUCCACCUGAGAAAAGCUGCCAGCUCUGCACAGCAUUCCAAAGAAGCAGCCUUGAACCUAGAAUGGAAAAUUUCCAGCUCAGCCCUAAGCUGGGGAUCUUGGACUGAAUCUUGCUUUUUAGUUCUUGCUGCAGUGCCUGAAAGUCAUCUUGAAAUGUUCAGACUUUCCUUACUUCCUGCUGCCAAAGCAUGUGUGGGAAAGAGGAAAAAUCCAGCUCCAGACUUGAAAGAUCAAGUGAAAAGUGUCAUCCUAAAAAGCACAAGACUGCAAAGCCAGGAGGAAAUGUCUGCUCCUGAAACUCGGAUUUGCCUCCCUGCAGCUGAAGAGCCUGAAUUAUGUACCUGGAAGCUAAUGAGCUUACCUUCCACUCAGUCUUAUCCCAGCUCACCAGGACCAGGAUUUCCCACCAAGAUGAUAUGAACACCUGGGUUGACAAGAGGAUGCUGCUGGACAUGGUAAGCCACAGGUAACUCAGACCAGGAGAAGUUCUGGUGAACCCUGCCCCUGAUGUGGGGCCAGUUACUGCUGUGGUGUCACGAAAAAAUGUUCAGCUUCCUAUCCCAAACUGAAAACUGGUGAUGAGGGGGUCUGGCCAUCAAAAAGGCUCAGGAAUGGCUGAUGUGUCCCCUCAGCUCAUGCUCCAGCACCUACAGCUGACCACUGUCAAUUGCUAGUGCUUAACAUUAAUAUUUUAAUUAUUUUCAUAGCUCUUGGAGUUUCCAGACUGCCUGGAGAAGGAAAAUCCCUGGUGCACUCCCUGAGACUCACGAGCAGGAGAAUGCGUGGGGGUGAUACUGCAAAAUAAACAUUUCACAGGAGUAUUUAGAAAUUGGCUGCAGCAGCCUGGGUCACUAAAACCCUGGGGCCAGGACUCUUUCCACAGAGAGCUCAGGAAAUGUGGGCGCCGGGGAGUUUCUCAGCGGGUUUUAUGUUCCAGCCAGACUGUGUGUAAAUUCUCAGCAAUGCUACCAAUAAUGCCAGAAACAGACACUUUUCCAAGCAGAUGCUGUUUCUGGUUAAGGAAUCCAUCAACACGAGCCAGGCCCCAGGUUUCUAAGGACAGUUGUUUUAAUCCUGCCCCCAGAUCUGGGACUUUUAAGCUGUUCUUAGGUAUGUUUUCUUUUCUGUCUAGUAACCAUUGUCCCUACCCCCUCCUAAAGCCAAAACAAAGUGUGAAGUGAACUCGGGGAAAGGGGGUCAGAUGGGGAAUGAGGACAAGCUCCCACCCAGCUGCCCUCCCCUGCAGCCCGUGGAGCAGCAGGGUCAGUCCUGCCAUUCCCCCAGGGCCAGCCUUGUCCUGCCUGGGGACUGACACACUGACACGGCAGGGGGGUCACAGCUUUUUUUUAAAUGAGGAAUAUCUUCUUUUCUGCCUCCCCCAGCACUGCAGGCCUCGAGGUCCAGCCCAGAGCAGACCCUCAGGGAGGACAGCCCAGCUCAGCUCAACACAAGACAUUUCUCUGGGUGAAGGUGAUUCCUGUGCCUCCAACACCAGGAAUUUCAUGUGAAUCAGUUAAAGAAAAGCAGGCUAAACUAAACACUCUGCAUUCAUAACUGCAGAUAAACAUGGGCUGCAACAUUUAUUGCUCAAUAAAAGGCAGGCAAGCUCCUGAUGAUGAGCAGGAGCAGCUCAGAACAGCUUUGGGGUGUUUCCAAGUGAAAUCUUUUGGUCCUUUCUCCCCAUAGUAGGUAUCUUUGCUUAUUUCUUAAAGGGCAAAGGGAAAAAAAGGCUCACAAUGAGUCAUUAAACUUUCAAAUGAGUCAUCUGGCUUUCAGUAAAGCAUGUGUAAAAAUAUUACUGAUUUACAAACAAUAUCCAGUGUAACACAAUAGGUCCAAAAAAGAUGAAUCUAAAAAUGAGGCAAUACCAUAAAAGACACAAGGUCAGGUCAAAUUUGGCCAAGAGAUCAACCAAUACAAAUGUUCCCAUGGAUGGUUUUCUUUCUUUUUUUUCCCUUUUUUUUAUUUUUGUAAUUUUUAUUUUUAAACCCUCAGAGGCUACUUUUUAUACAAAUAAAUAUUGCCUGUGCAGUGCUAGCCACACAAACAGGAGAAUGCCUUGGGGAGCAGAGGGAUCCUGGCAGGCAGCAGAAGUAAACACCAACCACACGAGUGUAUUUUUUCUGUUAAAACUGCAUUGCAAAAACUAAACUGAUAGAAUAAAUACUGAAAAAGCAAACUCCAUUUUUUAAUGCUCUGCUGAAACACUCUGGAGCACAGCUGGACCUGCACAAGGCAAAAUAUGGCACAUGUGUGUGCAGCUGAUAGGUCAGACUGAGGGGUGGUUUUAAUGACAGGUAAGGACAAUUUGGAUUUGGUUUCAUUUUUACUGUGCCUCCCUACCUGAAAGAACCAAAGUCUGCAGAACCAAUAUUAACGUUGUCUUUUCAUUUCUGAUUUGUUGCUUAUUUUGCACACCUGAUGUAAUUCUGCCAUUUCACUGCAUCUCUGUCAUAUAUUCUUUCAUGAACUGCUGGAAAUAAUGCAAAACUUAAAAAAAAAAUUAAAAAGUAAAUGAGGAAUAUAA